UACGUAGGUGACAAGCGUUGUCCGGAUUUACUGGGCGUAAAGAGCGCGCAGGCGGUCGUUCAAGUCGAGUGUGAAAGCCCCCGGCUCAACUGGGGAGGGUCACUCGAUACUGAUCGACUCGAAGGCAGGAGAGGGUAGUGGAAUUCCCGGUGUAGUGGUGAAAUGCGUAGAUAUCGGGAGGAACACCAGUGGCGAAGGCGACUACCUGGCCUGUUCUUGACGCUGAGGCGCGAAAGCUAGGGGAGCAAACAGG
rnacentral:rRNA from 1 species